rnacentral:sRNA from 1 species
UACAUUUGGGAGCAGUUGGCUUCUGGUUUUAAACACAAGAAUUUUCGAUCUCGAGAAGGCGUGUGUCUGUGUCUUAUUGAAACCUUAAACAUUUUUGGGGCUCAGCCACUAGUCAUCAGCAAGUUGGUACCACAUUUGUGUAUCCUGUUUGGAGACUCCAACAGUCAGGUGAGAGAUGCUGCAAUAUUGGCUAUAGUGGAGAUUUAUAGACAUGUGGGAGAAAAAGUGAGGAUGGAUCUUUAUAAGAGAGGAAUUCCCCCUGCUAGACAGGGUCUGGCUCUGUUGCCUAGGCUGCAGUGCAGUGCUACGAUCUUGGCUCACUGCAACCUCCACCUGCCGGGCUGAAGCCAUCCUCUCACCUCAGCCUCCCAGCAACAGACAUGUGCCACCACGCUUGGCUACUUUUUGUAUUUUUUGUAGAGAUACAGCCUGUUGCCCAGGCUGGUCUUGAACUCCUGAGCUCAAGCAGUCCUCCCGCCUCAGUCUCCCUGGGAUUAUGGGCGUGAACAACUGUAGUCAGCCGAAAUGUUUUAAAAUUCAAAAGAUACAAAAGGAUACAUAUGUUAUCACCAUUUAAAAAGUUCUUAAGGUCCUGUAAUAUUUUUUGUCAUUGUUUCAUUAUAUAUUCAUUUAUUAUUUAGUAUGUAAUUAUGUACCAUUAUCAAGUAAUCAUCCUUUGAUACCAGGUGGUAAUAGUCAUUAUUUGGGAGAUGCUCGAGCAAGGAUUUACUAAAAAUAUUAAUUCAUUCAUCAAGUAAAUCCUUUAAAAGUAUGUACUGUUGAAAGGUACCAUACAAUUUAUUGGGUAACAGAAACUGUAUGAGAAUCAGUUUUUUAAAAGCUUAAUAAGUAACCAAUUGUAGGGUUCUUACAAUU